rnacentral:rRNA from 1 species
GACGAACGCUGGCGGCGUGCUUAACACAUGCAAGUCGAACGGAAAGGCCCUGCUUUUGUGGGGUGCUCGAGUGGCGAACGGGUGAGUAACACGUGAGUAACCUGCCCUUGACUUUGGGAUGACUUCAGGAAACUGGGGCUAAUACCGGAUAGGAGCUCCUGCUGCAUGGAGGGGGUUGGAAAGUUUCGGCGGUUGGGGAUGGACUCGCGGCUUAUCAGCUUGUUGGUUGGGUAGUGGCUUACCAAGGCUUUGACGGGUAGCCGGCCUGAGAGGGUGACCGGCCACAUUGGGACUGAGAUACGGCCCAGACUCCUACGUGAGGCAGCAGUGGCGAAUAUUGCACAAUGGGCGGAAGCCUGAUGCAGCAACGCCGCGUGCGGGAUGACGGCCUUCGGGUUGUAAACCGCUUCCGCCUGUGACGACGCGUGAGUGACGGUAAUGGGUAAAGAAGCACCGGCUAACUACGUG